UAUAUGCUGAUUUUAUGCCCUAGAACACUGGUGAAUUUAUUAGCUCUAGUAGUCAUCUAGUAGUCUCUAAACUAUAGAAGAUCCAAAUCAUUUGCAAACAGUAGUAUUUUUACUUCUUCCUUUCCUAUUUUUCCCCUUCAGUUCCCUUUCUUGCCCAAUUACUCUGGCUAAAACAAAACACAAACUUAUACUUAGGUUGUUCAUUUAUAAUCCUAGAAAAAAAGAAUGAAGUAUGAGAGAAGCAAGAAAUGAAGAAAGAUUCAUUAGUCAACUGGCCACUGUAGGGAUGACAUCUCAAAACCACAUGAGGAGCCUUAUAAAGCAUUCCUCAGAAGCAUCUAUUUGGGGGCAGAAAAGGAAAAAAAACAGUUAUUCACCACUUCUCAUCUAUAUUGCUCAUAAAUGGCCUCAUGGAAAUAAGUUUCCUUACCCUUUCAUGUUGCACAUGUAAGAUGGCCAGUAGAUUCCCAUGGGCACCCUGUAGGAAUAUACAACACUUUCAUAAAAGAAAAAAAAAUGUUUAAAAAGUAAAACACAAUUAAUAUAUCCACCACAUAACAGUAUCAUUAUAUUUAUCAUUGAUCACAUUCUGCUCAAUGGCAUAGUCAUAACGUAGUCCAAUGUUGGACUAUUGACUUUCUUCCUAUUCCAAUCCCCUAUGGGUUAUUCACUGUGAUGUUAAUGCAUGUGAGAAGUAAACUUUAGCUGCUUGUUAUGAACUAUCGGAUGGUAUGAGUCAGUUUAAAGAUGUAAACAAUGUGGCUACAUUUGAUGUGAAACCAUGGUAGCAUUUUAUGGGUGAUUGAAGUAAUUUUAUUUAUAGCUACUACUAAUGCUUUGGCUGCUGUAAUGAAGCCAAUGGACUGGUGUGGAAGUUCCAGAUUAGAAACACUGGUGUAUAGCAACAUAUGUUAACCAGAAGAGUUAGAAAAAAAGUUCGUAUAUUGCUAAUUCUACUGAAAAUAAUCUUUUCAACAACAAUAUGUACCUUUUAAAGCCCUGUAUUUCCAUGUGGCUCAGUAAGUUUUCUUUUUACUGUUAAUGUCUACUGAACUCAGUCUUGUUUCAGCAUUGGGUAUUAUUUUCAUUUAAGGAUCAAUGAACUAGUUAAAAAUAUGGCCCAUCCAUGUCCUUAGGAGAUUAAGUUUUCAAAAAAAUUUACAUUUUGUACUUAAUGUAUUUUCACAAAAUUGUAAAAUAUUU
rnacentral:lncRNA from 1 species